rnacentral:lncRNA from 1 species
GGGAGAAGGUGGUGAGUGUGGGGGAGGGGGCUCUGAGUUCACUGAUUGUCCCAUACUAACCCCCACCCUGUCCCCUCUUCCCCCACAGAAGAUGGAGGUAAACAAGAGAGCAGCAGAAGACACCAGGAGGGACUACGAACAAUUUGUGCAGGAGCUGGACCAUGACCACCAGAGUAUGAGGAGCUGUCUGAGGGUGAAGCCGCUGGAGAUGCAGAAACGCCUGGAGGGGAAACGUCAGGAGCUGCUGGAGCACUGCCGGGUGGAGCUGCGGGGCAAGGACCCCCAGAAACAGGAGGCCCUGGAGGAGCUGAAGCAGGAGCUGGACAGGCAGAUGGACAAGUUCCUGCUAGUCUACAAGCAGCGCUUUAAAAAGAUGGAGGUAAACAAGAGAGCAGCAGAAGACACCAGGAGGGACUACGAACAAUUUGUGCAGG